rnacentral:rRNA from 1 species
UGGGGAAUAUUGCACAAUGGGCGAAAGCCUGAUGCAGCAACGCCGCGUGAGUGGUGAAGGCCUUCGGGUUGUAAGCUCUGUCUUCUGGGACGAUAAUGACGGUACCAGAGGAGGAAGCCACGGCUAACUACGUGCCAGCAGCCGCGGUAAUACGUAGGUGGCAAGCGUUGUCCGGAUUUACUGGGCGUAAAGGAUGCGUAGGCGGAUAUUUAAGUGAGAUGUGAAAUUCCCGGGCUUAACUUGGGAGCUGCAUUUCAAACUGGGUAUCUAGAGUGUGGGAGAGGAAAGUGGAAUUCCUAGUGUAGCGGUGAAAUGCGUAGAGAUUAGGAAGAACCCCAGUGGCGAAGGCGACUUUCUGGACCAUAACUGACGCUGAGGCAUGAAAGCGUGGGGAGCAAACA